ACAGCUACAGCAUCUUGAAACAUUGGUUCCUGUACAAUCACCCAAGUUAAGCAAUGUUGAGCCUGGUCAGUACCUAGAUGGGUGACUGCUUGGGAAUACCAGGUGCU